CUCAGAAACUCAUUUGCGCGCAUGUGUUCUUCAAUGUGAACUGCCUAAAUGGUUUCAUUUCUAUCCGAUGACAACCAUAUCCACUCGUGAUUUGGGUGGGGUUUCGCUGGAGGAGCCGCGCUGGACAGUCACAAAUCUGAAGGCAGAGGCGACCCGUUUAUUUAUUCGCACGCCUCAACCGCGCCUUUGUCUGGUCGAUGGUACCCUCAAACACUUACAAUAUGCUGCAGUGUUUUUAUGGACUUGUUUAUCUUUCGGCAGUUUUGGCGUUUGCGACUCUGACAGGUGCACAAGCUGAAUGUCCUCUUCAGCUCAACCCACAGAGAGUUGUUGUGAGAUACGG